UUUAUAAGCACUGUUCCUAAGAACCCGAUUUAAAGUGACGCUUUUGCCCUUGCUUUUUUUCCCUCAAUUACAAUUUGCUGAGCCUUCACCUACGUCCACACAGACAGAAAGAGAGAGCUAGGAGGGCCUCAUCUUAAGGUAUAAACUGAAGGCGAUACAAGCUAUUACAUCGUUGGGAUCAUCACGGGAGAAGGGAAAAGAUUGGCUUCUGUUCGGUUUGGAUAAGUGGUCGGCUGUUGGUUCUGUGGAUUGUCAAAGGUUUAACAUCGAAGGGAUAUUGUUUGUUGUGGAGUUUGCGAUUUGAGUAAUUGGUUGGAGGAGGUUGGAGGUGAGAUUUUGAUUUGGGUUUCGCAGUUUUCAGUAUUGUGGACUGGAGUAUCUCCCUGUUUUUGCUUUGUUGAUUGGAUUUUGCCUCAUCCAGCAUCGACUUGAUUAGCUAAGCUGCAGCCUCUGAAGAACAAGAAGAAAGCAAACCAUUAGCCUCAAUUCUUUUUUAGCAUCAAUGGCAUGGAAACAGAGCCAAUGAGUAAUGCUGAGAAUUCCAGCGCAAAACCCGAG